CAACUUAAUAAUGGCCUACAUCAUUUUUGACGAGAAUGAGUUUUUGGCUGCUGUAUUUUUUGCACUAUUAGGUGCACCGGAAUAAAGUGCGUUAAGCCAAACAAAACAGUCAGAUUAGUCAAACUUUAUUGAACUCAUUCAAUAUCUCCGUGAGGCUACCUCCAACAAGCCAGAAGGGUUUUAAGUGCGCCUUAUAGUGUGAAAAAUACGGUUUAUUUAUCUCUUGAGAUGAUUUAGAGAUGAUUUAAGCCAAAAAGUCAUUUCUGUCAAAAAAUUUGUCAAAAAAAGACGUAGGCCAUUAUCCUAAUAGACGAUAUUGAAAUUCGGCGAUGACGUAAUCAAGGGAUUUUUACGACAGCUGCUAAGUGACUUUCCUUACAGAGGAGUUGUUAACACUGUAGAUAAGUGAGGUAAACCCUUAAUUUCCACCGCAUCCAGAACGGCAACGAAAAGGUCGCCGGACUCCUCAGCUGAUCACAAGAGUUCUAUUUUUUCUGGACGCCGGAGCAUGGCGGAUAAAUUCAGCACAGAUUAACCCGUGCUGGAAAGGAAGUCGGGCACAGACACAAAAUAAAUCAUCCGGCUUCUUUUCAAAAUAAAACACUCCGUGUUUCAGGAGGAUCGUAUUUCACACCAUGCAAACGGGCGGAGACGAACAAGUGAAAGGUUUUUAGACGUCAUUUCACCCCGAUGACACCAUGGAUGAGGAGAUGCUGAUUCUAGAAGUCUAGAAGUAGAUUUCCUCCUCUGGAAGGACACAAUCUACUGCUUAUAUGUCUAUGUGUCUGUCUUUAGAGAGACAACUUGUUGCACGAUUGCAUGUGAAUCUGUGGGUUCUUGUGAGUUCUCGAGAUUCCUGCUGUUCGUAAUCCGCCAUGAAAUUCACCUCACAAACAUCUGGUUUAAUAUGAUUUUUGGCUCGAGAAGGUUCUUUAGUGGGGAAGGAGAAAACCAACUUUACAUGAUCAAUUUAUGUCAAAUCAGAC